GUGCUUGCUUCAACAGCACAUGUACUGAAACUGGACACAGAGAAGAUCAGAAUGGCCCUGUACAAGGGAUGAUACGCAACUCUACAGUGUUCCAUAAUUUU
ensembl:snRNA Gm22333 predicted gene, 22333